rnacentral:lncRNA from 10 species
CUUACCAGCCCUGUCCAGUGUCCUCAGGUUUAUGGACACUGAAGCUCCUGGACAAAGGUCUAUGAACUGAUGUUGGAGGUGGAACCUGCCCUUGGGGACCCACCAGCUCACCCUGAAGCUGACAACUUCACCUCUGAGGAAGGGAGCUUUCUGUAGAACAUUAGUGAGACACACCCAGACUGGAGCUCUGCCUGCCUAUCUCCACCCAGCACACCCACAGCAGAGUUAAGGUUCUGCUGGUGCCAUGAAACAUACUUCUCAGAGAAGUGCUGCCUGCUCAGUACUUGUUUUUGCAUCACUUAUGUGUCCAGCAGGGGCAGGUGGGGCAUCGCCUGCACAGAGCCGAUUGCCAGGUUGAAUGGAGCAGACUGCGUUGCUGACAUCAUCUUGGAAAUCAGUGGUAAACUAGGCUUUGAGUCAUCCAGUGUCUGAGAGAUUCUCAAAAACACACCUAUUGUAUAAAGCAGUGAUUUCCAGUACUUCGUAAGGGGGAAAACGUCAUCACUUGUGUGGUUUGUCAUCACCACUCCCCACCUUUGAUUUGCUGAAAUGCACCUUUCAGUUUAUUUUGGCAGUCACCCUGUUGAAGUGUACUGUGUGGGUCCAGAUGGGAGUGGAUGUUCAGCUCUCACUGGGCUCCACUGAUAUCAGCCCAGCCAGAGUGGAGUGCCAGCUGACCCCGCCUUGCUUUGCCUCACUCUGCCUUGUAGCUAAUGGGUGGGGGUGGAAGUCUUGCUUGGACUGUCGAUACCAGGAGUGGGGAGGGGGAAAAGGGACUGUGUUGUUGUGUAAUAAAGGAUUUGACUUUGUCCCUGGCUCCUGAGAAGGAGACUCUAAGUCUUUGGAAAUUCCCAAGUAAGAGGAGUGUCUUUGUUUUUCAUGAGCCCCUUGGAUCGCACCUUAGUUUAUGUUGAGAUGAGAGGGGUGGGAUUUGGAGCCAGCCUGACCUUGGGGAGAGUAGGGGGGAUGGAGAUUGAGUUGAGUCAUGUGACCAAUGAUUUACUCAACCAUGCCUAUGUCAUGAAACCUCAAUAAAAACUCUGGACACUGAAGCUCAGUGGAGUUACCUGCCUGGUAAACACAUUGAUUUGACCCACUCUGAUUUCAUGGGUUGAAGGCAUGGGAACUCUGCACUUAGGACCCCCCAGGAUUCACCUAUGUGUCUCUCCACUUGGCUGGUCCUGAUUUUUAUCCUGCGUAAUAAAAC